rnacentral:rRNA from 1 species
GACGAACGCUGGCGGCGUGCUUAACACAUGCAAGUCGAACGAAGAGCGAUGGAAGCUUGCUUCUAUCAAUCUUAGUGGCGCACGGGUGAGUAACGCGUAAUCAACCUGCCCUUCAGAGGGGGACAACAGUUGGAAACGACUGCUAAUACCGCAUACGAUCUAAUCUCGGCAUCGAGGAUAGAUUAAAGGUGGCCUCUACAUGUAAGCUAUCACUGAAGGAGGGGAUUGCGUCUGAUUAGCUAGUUGGAGGGGUAACGGCCCACCAAGGCGAUGAUCAGUAGCCGGUCUGAGAGGAUGAACGGCCACAUUGGGACUGAGACACGGCCCAGACUCCUACGGGAGGCAGCAGUGGGGAAUCUUCCGCAAUGGACGAAAGUCUGACGGAGCAACGCCGCGUGAGUGAUGACGGCCUUCGGGUUGUAAAGCUCUGUUAAUCGGGACGAAAGGCCUUCUUGCGAAUAGUGAGAAGGAUUGACGGUACCGGAAUAGAAAGCCACGGCUAACUACGUG